rnacentral:rRNA from 2 species
UGGGGAAUCUUCCGCAAUGGACGAAAGUCUGACGGAGCAACGCCGCGUGAGUGAAGAAGGUUUUCGGAUCGUAAAGCUCUGUUUUUAGGGACGAAUGGUAGAUAUUCAAAUAGAGUAUGUACAUGACGGUACCUAAAGAGGAAGCCACGGCUAACUACGUGCCAGCAGCCGCGGUAAUACGUAGGUGGCAAGCGUUGUCCGGAAUUAUUGGGCGUAAAGGGCGUGUAGGCGGGAUAAUAAGUCUGUUGUAAAAGUGCGGGGCUCAACCCCGUAAGGUCAAUGGAAACUGUUAUUCUUGAGUGCAGGAGAGGAAAGUGGAAUUCCCAGUGUAGCGGUGAAAUGCGUAGAUAUUGGGAGGAACACCAGUGGCGAAGGCGACUUUCUGGACUGUGUCUGACGCUGAGGCGCGAAAGCCAGGGGAGCGAACGGG